GAUGAAAGAACGCAGCGAAAUGCGAUAAGUAAUGUGAAUUGCAGAAUUCAGUGAAUCAUCGAAUCUUUGAACGCACAUUGCGCCCCUUGGUAUUCCGAGGGGCAUGCCUGUUCGAGCGUCAUUAUAACCCCUCAAGCUCAGCUUGGUGUUGGGGCCUGCUGCACUGGCAGCCCUUAAAAUCAGUGGCGGCGCCAUCUGGCUCUAAGCGUAGUAAUUCUUCUCGCUAUGGAGUCCUGGUGGAUGCUUGCCAUCAACCCCCAAUUUUUCUAUGGUUGACCUCGGAUCAGGUAGGGAUACCCGCUGAACUUAAGCAUAUCAAUAAGAGGAGGA
rnacentral:misc_RNA from 1 species